rnacentral:rRNA from 1 species
GACGAACGCUGGCGGCGUGCCUAAUACAUGCAAGUCGAACGCUUCUUUCCUCCCGAGUGCUUGCCCUCAAUUGGAAAGAGGAGUGGCGGACGGGUGAGUAACACGUGGGUAACCUACCCAUCAGAGGGGGAUAACACUUGGAAACAGGUGCUAAUACCGCAUAACAGUUUAUGCCGCAUGGCAUAAGAGUGAAAGGCGCUUUCGGGUGUCGCUGAUGGAUGGACCCGCGGUGCAUUAGCUAGUUGGUGAGGUAACGGCUCACCAAGGCCACGAUGCAUAGCCGACCUGAGAGGGUGAUCGGCCACACUGGGACUGAGACACGGCCCAGACUCCUACGGGAGGCAGCAGUAGGGAAUCUUCGGCAAUGGACGAAAGUCUGACCGAGCAACGCCGCGUGAGUGAAGAAGGUUUUCGGAUCGUAAAACUCUGUUGUUAGAGAAGAACAAGGACGUUAGUACCUGAACGUCCCCUGACGGUAUCUAACCAGAAAGCCACGGCUAACUACGUG